UACGUAGGGACCAAGCGUUGUCCGGAAUCAUUGGGCGUAAAGCGCGCGUAGGUGGCCAUUUAAGUCCGCUGUGAAAGUCAGAGGCUCAACCUUUGAAAGCCGGUGGAUACUGGAUGGCUAGAGUACGGAAGAGGCGAGUGGAAUUCCUGGUGUAGCGGUGGAAUGCGCAGAUAUCAGGAGGAACACCAAUAGCGAAGGCAGCUCGCUGGGACGUUACUGACACUAAGGCGCGAAAAGCGUGGGGAGCGAACAGG
rnacentral:rRNA from 1 species